AGUGAACGCUGGCGGUAGGCCUAACACAUGCAAGUCGAACGGCAGCACAGUAAGAGCUUGCUCUUACGGGUGGCGAGUGGCGGACGGGUGAGGAACACAUCGGAAUCUACUUUUUCGUGGGGGAUAACGUAGGGAAACUUACGCUAAUACCGCAUACGACCUACGGGUGAAAGCAGGGGAUCUUCGGACCUUGCGCGAUUGAAUGAGCCGAUGUCGGAUUAGCUAGUUGGCGGGGUAAAGGCCCACCAAGGCGACGAUCCGUAGCUGGUCUGAGAGGAUGAUCAGCCACACUGGAACUGAGACACGGUCCAGACUCCUACGGGAGGCAGCAGUGGGGAAUAUUGGACAAUGGGCGCAAGCCUGAUCCAGCCAUACCGCGUGGGUGAAGAAGGCCUUCGGGUUGUAAAGCCCUUUUGUUGGGAAAGAAAAGCAGCAGGUUAAUACCCCGCUGUUCUGACGGUACCCAAAGAAUAAGCACCGGCUAACUUCGU
rnacentral:rRNA from 1 species